AUUGAACGCUGGCGGCAUGCCUUACACAUGCAAGUCGAACGGCAGCACGGGAGCAAUCCUGGUGGCGAGUGGCGAACGGGUGAGUAAAGUAUCGGAGCGUGCCCAGUCGUGGGGGAUAACGUAGCGAAAGUUACGCUAAUACCGCAUACGAUCUAUGGAUGAAAGCGGGGGAUCGCAAGACCUCGCGCGAUUGGAGCGGCCGAUAUCAGAUUAGGUAGUUGGUGGGGUAAAGGCUCACCAAGCCGACGAUCUGUAGCAGGUCUGAGAGGACGACCAGCCACACUGGGACUGAGACACGGCCCAGACUCCUACGGGAGGCAGCAGUGGGGAAUUUUGGACAAUGGGCGAAAGCCUGAUCCAGCCAUGCCGCGUGCAGGUUGAAGGCCUUCGGGUUGUAAACUGCUUUUGUACGGAACGAAAAGGUUUGGCCUAAUAAGCUGAGCUCAUGACGGUACCGUAAGAAUAAGCACCGGCUAACUACGUGCCAGCAGCCGCAGUAA
rnacentral:rRNA from 1 species